AGAGCAGAAAAACAGGAUGUUCUGUAGAUAAGAGAAACACAUCACAUCCUGCCAGCGAAAAAAGACUCUAUCCAUCUACAUCCCAGAGAGAAGUCGAAGAAGAAAAGGCACCAACACCAGAGGAUGAGGAAACUGGAAAAGUUUUGAGAAGUCCGGAAACAGCCAGCCCUGAAGAGGCAGCAGUCAGGUGAGGAGAAUGCACCACCCAAAGCCAC
rnacentral:lncRNA from 1 species